AUGUGUUGGCUCAAGUUGGAGGGGUUCGAGCAAACGGUUCACGAUGCUUGGGUGUGUCCGGGGGAGAUCUUUGACCCUUUCAAGAGGCUCGAUUGCUUACUUCAUAACACUGCGACCGCUCUUCAGGCAUGGGGGCAGAAGAAGACGGACAACGUUAGGGUUCAGAUGGCCAUUGCCAACUACAUCAUCUUGAAGUUGGAUCGGGCCAUGGAAUCACGUGAGCUUUCUGCCAAUGAGGGAUGGCUAAGGGGUAGUAUCAAGCAUGCGUUGUUGGGUUUGGCCUCUCUACAGCGGACCAUAGAAAGGCAGAGAUCACGUUUAAAGUGGAUCAGGGAGGGCGAUGCCAACACUAAACUUCUUCAGGCGGUGGCGAAUGGCCAACGAUCCAAGAAUUUCAUCCCACACGUGAGGCAUAAUGGCGAGUUGAUAGUGGAUCAAAGAUGGAAGGAAGACAUUUUUUCGGAGGCAUAUGAACAACUAUUGGGUACAGCUCACCAGCCCCGUUGA
rnacentral:rRNA from 1 species